UACGUAGGUGACAAGCGUUAUCCGGAAUUACUGGGCGUAAAGCGCACGCAGGCGGCGCAUUAAGUCUGACGUGAAAUCUCCUGGCUUAACUGGGAGGGGUCGUUGGAGACUGGUGUGCUUGAGGCGAUGAGAGGGUGUAGAAUUCCCGGUGUAGUGGUGGAAUGCGUAGAUAUCGGGAGGAAUACCAGUGGCGAAAGCGACACCCUGGCAUUAGCCUGACGCUCAUGUGCGAAGGCGUGGGGAGCGAACGGG
rnacentral:rRNA from 1 species